GAGGUGACUUGCCGGUGUUCCAGAAGUUUCAUUCUCAUUCUCAGGACUUGUCGGAUUUGCUUUGUUUUGUGCAAUAUUUGCAUUUUCUCUAAACUGAAGCAAUAGUUGAAGUGAAUGGCGGAAGAAGUGCAAAUACAUACGGUCUCUUCAAGAAGUUGGGGCUUGAUGGUGUUAAAAUCUGACAGGUAAUCUACAAACAGGAGCCUCAUGUGAGUCUUGAUGCCCUCUAAGUGGUUAUAAAACCGAAGAAGCAAAGUGACAAAUGCAUCCUGUAAUUAGACAGGUGUGCAAGAUUGAACAGCUUCCCAUGGAAUCUUGUGUGGAGAAGGUUCCCCUCAGGUAAAGAGCCAAAGGCUUGAUGUAGCAGCAGGGCAAAGAAAAUCCCAAAGGUGAACACCACAGCCUUGCUUGACUCUGCUAUGUAAGUUGAACUGUUCUGUGCCUUACAUGUUCUCAUGACUAGACGUGAUUAUGCUCAGCAGCUUUGAUAGGCAGCCUAUUUUCAGUAGUAUCUGGAAGAGCCUGUCUCUACUGACCUGGUCAAAUACCUCAAUCAUAUUAAUAAAAGCAAUGUAGACUGCUGUUUCUGCUCUCUGUAUUUCUCCUUUAGCUGGCGAAGGGAGAAAAUCACAUCUACAUUGGAUCUUUUUGUCAAGAAACCGUAGUAUGGCUCUGGGUAAACAGG